ACGGGGGGGGCAAGCGUUGUUCGGAAUUACUGGGCGUAAAGGGCGCGUAGGCGGCCUGCUAAGUCACACGUGAAAUCCCUCGGCUCAACCGGGGAACUGCGUGUGAUACUGGCGGGCUUGAAUUCGGGAGAGGGAUGUGGAAUUCCAGGUGUAGCGGUGAAAUGCGUAGAUAUCUGGAGGAACACCGGUGGCGAAGGCGGCAUCCUGGACCGAGAUUGACGCUGAGGCGCGAAAGCUAGGGUAGCAAACGGGA
rnacentral:rRNA from 1 species